GACGGAGGAUGCAAGUGUUAUCCGGCCUCACUGGGCGUAAAGCGUCUGUAGGUGGUCAAAUAAGUCAACUGUUAAAUCUUGAGGCUCAACCUCAAAAUCGCAGUCGAAACUAUUAGACUAGAGUAUAGUAGGGGUAAAGGGAAUUUCCAGUGGAGCGGUGAAAUGCGUAGAGAUUGGAAAGAACACCGAUGGCGAAGGCACUUUACUGGGCUAUUACUAACACUGAGAGACGAAAGCUAGUGUAGCAAAGGGG
rnacentral:rRNA from 1 species